rnacentral:rRNA from 1 species
GACGAACGCUGGCGGCGUGCUUAACACAUGCAAGUCGAACGGAAAGGCCCUGCUUGCAGGGUACUCGAGUGGCGAACGGGUGAGUAACACGUGGGUGAUCUGCCCUGCACUUCGGGAUAAGCUUGGGAAACUGGGUCUAAUACCGGAUAGGAGCCAUCUUUAGUGUGGUGGUUGGAAAGUUUUUUCGGUGUAGGAUGAGCUCGCGGCCUAUCAGCUUGUUGGUGGGGUAAUGGCCUACCAAGGCGGCGACGGGUAGCCGGCCUGAGAGGGUGUACGGCCACAUUGGGACUGGGAUACGGGCCAGACUCCGGCGGGAGGCAGCAGUGGGGAAUAUUGCACAAUGGGCGCAAGCCUGAUGCAGCGACGCCGCGUGGGGGAUGAAGGCCUUCGGGUUGUAAACUCCUUUCGCUAGGGACGAAGCUUUUUUGUGACGGUACCUAGAUAAGAAGCACCGGCUAACUACGUG